CAGGGAUUGCCUUAGUAACGGCGAGUGAAGCGGCAACAGCUCAAAUUUGAAAUCUGGCCCCAGGCCCGAGUUGUAAUUUGCAGAGGAUGCUUUUGGCGCGGUGCCUUCCGAGUUCCCUGGAACGGGACGCCAUAGAGGGUGAGAGCCCCGUCUGGUUGGAUACCAAGCCUUUGUAAAGCUCCUUCGACGAGUCGAGUAGUUUGGGAAUGCUGCUCUAAAUGGGAGGUAUAUGUCUUCUAAAGCUAAAUACCGGCCAGAGACCGAUAGCGCACAAGUAGAGUGAUCGAAAGAUGAAAAGCACUUUGGAAAGAGAGUUAAACAGCACGUGAAAUUGUUAAAAGGGAAGCGUUUAUGACCAGACUUGGGCCGGUUAAUCAUCCAGCGUUCUCGCUGGUGCACUUUGCCGGUCCAGGCCAGCAUCAGUUCGCUGCGGGGGAUAAAGGCGUCGGGAAUGUGGCUCCUCUGGAGUGUUAUAGCCCUUCGCGCAAUACCCUGCGGUGGACUGAGGUUCGCGCAUCUGCAAGGAUGCUGGCGUAAUGGUCAUCAACGACCCGUCUUGAAACACGGACCAAGGAGUCGUCUUCGUAUGCGAGUGUUCGGGUGUAAAACCCCUACGCGUAAUGAAAGUGAACGCAGGUGAGAGCUUCGGCGCAUCAUCGACCGAUCCUGAUGUUCUCGGAUGGAUUUGAGUAAGAGCAUACGGGGCCGGACCCGAAAGAAGGUGAACUAUGCCUGUAUAGGGUGAAGCCAGAGGAAACUCUGGUGGAGGCUCGCAGCGGUUCUGACGUGCAAAUCGAUCGUCAAAUAUGGG
rnacentral:rRNA from 1 species